UACGGGGGGGGCAAGCGUUGUUCGGAAUUACUGGGCGUAAAGGGCUCGUAGGUGGCCAACUAAGUCAGACGUGAAAUCCCUCGGCUUAACCGGGGAACUGCGUCUGAUACUGGAUGGCUUGAGUGUGGGAGAGGGAUGCGGAAUUCCAGGUGUAGCGGUGAAAUGCGUAGAUAUCUGGAGGAACACCGGUGGCGAAGGCGGCAUCCUGGACCAUUACUGACACUGAAAAGCGAAAGCCAGGGGAGCAAACGGG
rnacentral:rRNA from 1 species